UCGAACGAGAAAGUGGAGCAUCCAUGAGUAAAGUGGCGACCGGGUGAGUAACACGUGACUAACCUACCUUCGAGUGGGGGAUAACCUCGGGAAACCGAGGCUAAUACCGCAUAACAUCGCAAGAUCAAAGCAGCAAUGCGCUUGAAGAGGGGGUCGCGGCUGAUUAGCCAGUUGGCGGGGUAACGGCCCACCAAAGCGAAGAUCGGUAGCCGGCCUGAGAGGGCGCACGGCCACACUGGAACUGAAACACGGUCCAGACUCCUACGGGAGGCAGCAGUGGGGAAUUUUGCGCAAUGGGGGAAACCCUGACGCAGCAACGCCGCGUGGAGGAUGAAGCCCCUUGGGGCGUAAACUCCUUUCGACCAAGACGAUAAUGACGGUACUGGUGGAAGAAGCACCGGCUAACUCUGUGCCAGCAGCCGCGGUAAUACGUAGGCAGCGAGCGUUGUUCGGAAUUACUGGGCGUAAAGAGUGUGUAGGCGGUGUUCCCAGUCUGUUGUGAAAUCUCCCGGCUUAACUGGGAGGGUGCAGCGGAAACUAGAAUGCUAGAGGGUGGGAGAGGUAAGCGGAAUUCCUGGUGUAGCGGUGAAAUGCGUAGAUAUCAGGAGGAACACCUGUGGUGUAGACAGCUUACUGGACCACUUCUGACGCUGAGACACGAAAGCGUGGGUAGCAAACAGGAUUAGAUACCCUGGUAGUCCACGCCCUAAACGAUGCAUACUUGGUGUGAGCGAUUCAUUUCGUUCGUGCC
rnacentral:rRNA from 1 species